rnacentral:tRNA from 1 species
AAUCUUUCUAGUAUUAAUGCUAAGUACAAGUGACUUCCAAUCACUCAGUCUUGGUUAAACUCCAAGGAAAGAUA